UGCCUGCCGGCGACCGGCGCACGGGUGAGUAACACGUAUGGAAUCUGCCCGUAGCAGGGGGAUAAGCGGAAGAAAUUCCGUCUAAUACCGCGUAAUAACUCCGAGAGGCAUCUCCUGGGGUUUAAAGGGUAACACCGGCUACGGAUGGCCAUGCGGCGCAUUAGCUAGUCGGCGGGGUAACGGCCCACCGAGGCGACGAUGCGUAGGGGUUCUGAGAGGAAGGUCCCCCACACUGGUACUGAGACACGGACCAGACUCCUACGGGAGGCAGCAGUGAGGAAUAUUGGUCAAUGGCCGAGAGGCUGAACCAGCCAAGUCGCGUGAGGGAAGACGGCCCUACGGGUUGUAAACCUCUUUUGUCGGGGAGCAAAAGCCGGACGUGUCCGGCUGUGAGAGUACCCGAAGAAAAAGCAUCGGCUAACUCCGUGCCAGCAGCCGCGGUAAUACGGAGGAUGCGAGCGUUAUCCGGAUUUAUUGGGUUUAAAGGGUGCGCAGGCGGAUUUUUAAGUCAGCGGUCAAAUCGUGGGGCUCAACCCCAUCCAGCCGUUGAAACUGGGGAUCUAGAGUGUGCGAGAGGUAUGCGGAAUGCGUGGUGUAGCGGUGAAAUGCAUAGAUAUCACGCAGAACCCCGAUUGCGAAGGCAGCAUACCGGUGCACAACUGACGCUCAGGCACGAAAGCGUGGGUAUCGAACAGGAUUAGAUACCCUGGUAGUCCACGCAGUAAACGAUGAAUGCUACCUGUUUGGCCAGAUUGAAGGCUGAGCGGGACAGCGAAAGCGUUA
rnacentral:rRNA from 1 species